rnacentral:rRNA from 1 species
UACAGAGGUCUCAACCGUUGUUCGGAUUCAUUGGGCGUAAAGGGCGCGUAGGCGGUCGUGACAAGUCACUUGUGAAAUCUCCGGGCUUAACUCGGAACGGUCAAGUGAUACUGUCGGACUAGAGUACAGAAGGGGCAACUGGAAUUCUCGGUGUAGCGGUGAAAUGCGUAGAUAUCGAGAGGAACACCUGCGGCGAAGGCGGGUUGCUGGGCUGAUACUGACGCUGAUGCGCGAAAGCCAGGGGAGCGAACGGG